UACGAAGGACCCGAGCGUUAUCCGGAUUCAUUGGGUUUAAAGGGUGCGUAGGCGGAAUGAUAAGUCAGUGGUGAAAUCCUGCAGCUUAACUGCAGAACUGCCAUUGAUACUGUUGUUCUUGAAUACAACUGAUGUGGGCGGAAUGUGCCAUGUAGUGGUGAAAUACUUAGAUAUGGCACAGAACACCGAUUGCGAAGGCAGCUCACAAAAUUGUUAUUGACGCUGAUGCACGAAAGCGUGGGGAUCAAAC
rnacentral:rRNA from 1 species